UACGAAGGGGGCUAGCGUUGCUCGGAAUCACUGGGCGUAAAGCGCACGUAGGCGGCUUCUCAAGUCAGGGGUGAAAUCCUGGAGCUCAACUCCAGAACUGCCUUUGAUACUGGAGAUCUUGAGUCCGGAAGAGGUAAGUGGAACUGCGAGUGUAGAGGUGAAAUUCGUAGAUAUUCGCAAGAACACCAGUGGCGAAGGCGGCUUACUGGUCCGGAACUGACGCUGAGGUGCGAAAGCGUGGGGAGCAAACAGG
rnacentral:rRNA from 1 species